UGCUACGUUGCCUGAAUCGGUUGACCUGCGGCUUGACAGAAUGAGGUGGUCUUUUGUUUUUCUCCUUUUUUUUGUUUAAUAAACCAUAUCAUUUGCAAUUUGAAAAUACCGUGAUGUAAACUGGCCCAAAAUAUAUAACCCAUUUCACCCUCAAAUAACCCUAUUCAACUCAGAUUCUUCCAUCCCUCCAUAGAACCCAUCGACGACUCUACUCUAGCGACGAUAGAGAUGCCAUCUUCUGAAACGGAAUGCACGUUGUCGAAAUAUUCGACCUUUCCUUUAUUUUAGCAAGAAGUUUGGCCGCUUUUUGUUGAAUCGUGGAUGCCACAACCCAUCUUCUCGGACCAGAUCUGUAAAAACUCAAGUAUAAAUACAUAUAAGUGAAAGGCAGAGUAAAACCCAUCACAAAUAUUACAGCUUUGGAGGUGGAAUUGUAAGAGGGUUGGAUGAAAUUUGUGCUGGCCAUGGCUGUGGGUUUUUAACGGCUUGUCAGGGCUGCACUGAUGUUAUCGACUUGCUUCUCCAUUGUGGCGCCGAAGUCGACAUCAAGGACCGGUAGGGAAGCACGGUGUUUGAUUCUCAGCUUACCAUGAGAGGAAAGAAAGAGCACGGUUAACUGAUGAACAAGACACAGAGAUUUCUACGAAUGUGACUUUACGCAAAGAAAGAACACGUAAUUGAAGGGAAUGAGAUUGGAAUUGGGCCGACUAGAAUUGUACUUUCCUUUAUAUGAAAUUGUAAUUUCAGUUAUGUGAAUAUAUGUUUUCUUGAAAUGAAUGUUAUCUUUGAUGCUGGU